rnacentral:lncRNA from 1 species
GGAUCGGUCCUGCAUUUCUGCAGGGGCCUCCUGGUGUCCACUCCCCUUUCCCCAUUCAGGGGCUCCAUUCGCUUCGUUGUGUCUUUCUCAGGUCGCCCCGACCCCUCCUCCCUGACCUGGGAAGACGCGCGCAGUCCCCGACCAGAGGACCUCAGACACAGUCUGGCCAUGGAGGCAUGGUAUCCGUAACAUCCCCCAAAGGAGCUAAAGAAGAAAUCCACAAUUUACCAUGAGCAUUUCUCGUCUGAAGAUUGCCAAGCGAUUCCUCCAGGACAUUCCUCAAGAUCAAUUUCUGUUCAUCCACCUUGUCCUGGGAGGGACAUCAAUGGGUUUCCAUGUCCUUUGGCUUCUGGUUGAGUUCACUCAGUGGAGAACCCUGGCAAGAGGCAGGAAAAGGGGAGGAAGCAGCCUGACCGGUUUGAAUUUCACCUUCUGUUCACCUUGGAUGAGAGCAGUAAUCAUCACGAUCCCAGGGAACAGCCAAAGGAAGAGAAAAGGCAAAAGAUUUGGACAAGACUCAUGAAGACUAACAGCUCUUGGAUAAUUGAGAGAAGGCAGCUGCGUGAACAGUUUUGAUGCAAUCAUGAAGGCAGGGCCCAGUGCCUGUGGCAUCUGCCUUUUUCUGGAACCAAUCCAUAUUUCCUUGUGGUUUUCUAAGGUGCAGAGAGGGCACAUUGGGAACUUUGCUUGGGGUCUUUUUCACAUCUUAGAGGGAAGGUCCCUCAACAUCUGCAUUGGCGGAGUGUGAUCCUCAUGUCCCUCUGAAUGAUCUGGACUUGAGGUAACCAGCCCCUUCCAGGAAGCUGUCCCAUGAGUGAAGCCUCAGCAGCAGCCUCUGUCAGUCCCUCCCCCACAGAACCUUUGGCUUCCAUUUGACCAGCCUUGACAUCCAGUGUCCAAACACCGAUAAAAUUGAUUCCACUAAGCGUGGGAAAGUCCUGGAGCAUCGAUUGUUUCCUCCUCUGCACCCCCGAUACCCUGGCAUUAGCACUCUCCCAGAAUGUACCUUGCUUGUUUGAUUGGAGGAGGUCAAAGCCCUGAUGAAGAAUGAGUGGAAUUCCACAGGAUUGGAGCAGUCUUGAUAAAUGACAGCAGGGGAUGGUGUGGGGAGGGGAAAGGAUCAGAGGAAGUGUGGAUAAAUGAAUGGCUUAAAAAAUAAUCCACCUUUGCCUCCCCCUUUUCUACCAGUCUGUCUAGUGCUUCAGGGUGAAAAAAAAAAAAAAAAGCUUGCCUUUCUAAACAUUUGGAGUUUCAGAAAUGAUCUAUAGAGCAUGUUUAGUUUUUCAAGUUAAAAAUAUUAAAAGAAAAAAAAUGUUUGAGGGCUUUACUGCUUUCCCGCAAAGAGCUAGAGCCACCCAAGCAGGAUUGACUGUCAUUGGUUUGAGGUUUCUGUUUGCUUUGAGGCUAUUUUUUCCUUAGUGCUAUAAACUAGAUCAGUCCAUUUUUAGCUGAUAACCCUUUCCAAUUUCGCUGUGAAAUGAGGGGCUGGUUGGGUGGUUUUUUUUUAUGUUCUUUCCAGCGUUGACUUUUAUGGUCUUUGAUUCCAAGGUACCUCGUCGACUCUGAAGACGAGAGAUGGGUAGGUUCUAACUCCAGAUGAGCCACUGCAAGAUGGUACCAGGAUGAGAUAGAGAGUCUCUGUACUAUCUUUUAUAUGUUCUCAAACCCAGCCAGGGAUCAGAGUGACAAUAUAACAUGGGGAAUCAUAGAGAUGUUUAUGGUAAUUCUGCUAUGAGUCAACUGAGAUGUCCCUUAUGGAGAUAACUUCCCAUACUAUAGGCAGUUGGACAAAGAUGUAAAUGCCUUGUUUACAAAUGCUACCCAGAUCUCCUAAUUAGGACCACACAUGCGGAGAACCCAACAGCUUUUGGACUUAUCGGCCAAUGGUCUUCUUGGGAAGGUCUCUCCUAGUCAUGGGAAUUGUCUUUUUAUUGUUCAAGCUUUUGCAUAGACCUGGAAGAGGCAUCCAUUGCUGUUACCCCUGAGUUUAUAAUCAUGCUGCAAGUCCAGUGGGGAACUUUGGCACAAAGCAUUGAAUGAGAUGGGACUGCACUUAUGUAGCCUGCAUUUCUUGAGAAUAAAGAUUUCUGUUCAUUUAGUGCAGUGGUUAUCAUCUGGGGGAAAACCAGUGAGUAGAGGCCAGGGAUGCCACUAAAAUCCCUACACUGUGCAGGAAAGCUGUCAGCCCUUUGUCCCACAAGAGAUUAACUGGUUCCAAAAGUCAGUAGUGCUGUGGUUGAGAAACCCUGUUUACCACCUGUAGGUUCCAGAGAGCUCGGAUGGUGGUGGUCAUUGUGCUAAGUUUCAAAUUCAGUAUUUAGGUUUGGUUUUUAGCUUAUAGGCAACAAAUUGGCUGACUAUGGGGUGAAAAGGAAGCACCUCCUUUAUCAAGAUUGGCUUCAAAAGAUGUCUGCCUCCCCUUCUGGUGGGUCCUGUGUCCAUUCACAGUGUGAGAAAUGGAAAGGAGGUCACUAAGAGACUUGCAAUGGAUGUAAUAACUGGAUGCAGAAACUCUGGAUCUGAAGGGAAUGUUCAUGACUAUUUCAUCCCUCCUGCUGCCUUGGAGAACCAAACGCAGGAGCCACCCAAGGUGAAAACCAUCCAUUUCUUGGAGAAGUGCCACGGUGGGGUUGCAAGUCCCAGGAUCAAGUUUUCGAUGUGUCUCUUUUUCCCGUAAAGUGGCUGAAAUCUGAAGCUGAAUCUGCAAGUGUCAUGGAGUCAUUGAAUCUCACAGUCUCAACUGAUAAAAGUUAUUAAAGGUCGUC